GCCGGUGUUUUAAUUUCGACGCGAGCUUCUGUCCGUCUUCGGUUCUUCACCAUGAUCCUUCAAACGAUCUCAAAUUUUCUCAUCUAUCAAAUCUCCGACGCGGCCUGCCACGUCCGGGUCUGUGAAGCUUGGGGCGUGACAGAAAUUUCAGCCUGAAGAUUUUCUGAUUAGAGCACCAAAUAAAGGGAUUAUGUUCUUUGCCAUACCAGGGGAGCCUGGUUUGACAGGUUUGGUUGGAGACUUCAAAAUUCAUUUUCAUGACCAACAGGGGGAUUUCCACUGGGUUGAGUGCUAUAUCAGCAGCAAGAAUGAAAGCUUGAUCCUUACAACAAUGACAUAGAAGAUGGCUCUGAUCUUGAUGGCUUUGAAAAGGUAAAUUACAAUUUAGCUGUCUGAUAUAGAAGUAGACCCUUCACUAAUUAGAUAUGCUCCAGGUGGUAGGUAUAUUCUAGACUUUCCAUUAUCUAAACUUAUAAUGUUUUAAUCUCCUGGGGCUUGCUGAGCAUGCUUUGGAGAGAAAUUUGCCUUCUCCUGGAUUCGAGGUUGAAAUUGUGAUGAACUGAUGAUAUAUUAUGAUGGUAUUCGACCAACAACUUCCAAAGCUGAUUCUGCAGAGUACAGCGAUAUCAAGGCAAUUGCUGCUGAUGCUUCAUUAUUAUCUUUUGGAGAUGAAGAAGAUUAUGAAAAUGAAUGCUGCAUUGUUGCCAUAUAACAUUGUCACCACCUUUUCCAUGGAAGGUAAAACUCAUCUCUUCCGGUAUGGUGAUCUGAAUUUAAGCAUGAAGGAGAGAUCUCUCUUAUUAUACCAUUCUUAAUCGGGGUUAAUAUGACACGCAUCUGUGAUAAACAUUCAAGGCAGCCGGGGCUGAUUAGAGACGAUGUUCAUAAGAGAGUGGAUCAUGGAGAAUUCAAUGCAAAAAGGUUGGAAUUAAAAUGUUGGGGCAAUUAAUUAAACUGAAUGACUGCGGAACUGGUUGAGAUGACACGUCCCACGAACUUGAACUUGAAGGAAUGGUCUCGAGUUGGGCUGGUCAAUCAUUGGAACAAACUGGGCUUGGAAAAACGUUUAGAUUUUAGAACCCGGCCCCUUUAACUAGGCCUUAUAUUUGGGCCCAUUUUUCACUCAAACCUUGCCCAUGUACUAGUCAUUAUUAAUCUGGCCCAAUAUUUUCAGCCUCAAUCCGUGUAAAGAUAUUUCCCCUAGCCCGAAAAGAACUCUGACCGCUGCUGGGUCCAGUUAGCUUGCUUAAAGAAGAUCCAGAUAGUUUAGAUUUCUGAUUUCAGCUUAAGUACCUCGCCUGGCUGCCAUACACCUCUUUGCCGGAAGCCCAGCCCAUAUACAUACUUGAAAAUAAGCCUCGCAGGAAGGGCCUUUAAAUCAGGCUCACCCCAAAACAUUUUAUUUCUCAACAAGCCCGGCCCAUGGUCUAAAUAAUGGCCCUUAUAAGUAGGCCUUAUUAAUCUGGCCCAACAACAGCCUGAUAUUUUCAGGCCUAAUAACGGCCUAACAUUUUCAGGCCCAAUUCUUGUAAAGAUAUUUUCACCUAGCCAGAGAAGAACUUUGGCCGCUACUGGGUCCAGAUAGCUUGCUUAAAGAAGAUCCAGAUAGUUUAGAUUUCAGCUCAAGUACCGGACCGUAUACCUGAAGCCCAGCCUAUAAACAUAUUUGAAAAAUAAGCUUUGCCGUAAGGGCCGUUAAAUCAGGCUCAGCCUAAAACAUUUAAUUUCUCAACAAGGCCGGCCCAUUGUCAAAAUAAUUUUCCCUGAACCUCCUAUAACCCUGCUGGGCGGGCUGGGCUUUCGAUCAGCCCAUGUUUCACAGCCCCUUUCCCACAUAGAUUGCCUAUAAAAUAAGGGAAUUCAGCCUCAAAAAUACUAGAGCCAGGAAACUAGUUUACAUGCCAACAUAUUAAGACACCCC